AACGUAAACAACCUGCCUUCAGGAUGGGGACAACAGACGGAAACGACUGCUAAUACCGAAUAAGUUCCAAGGGCCGCAUGGCCCAUGGAAGAAAAGGCGGCCUCUACCUGUAAGCUAUCGCCUGAAGAGGGGUUUGCGUCUGAUUAGCUGGUUGGAGGGGUAGCGGCCCACCAAGGCGACGAUCAGUAGCCGGUCUGAGAGGAUGAACGGCCACACUGGAACUGAGACACGGUCCAG
rnacentral:rRNA from 1 species